rnacentral:rRNA from 1 species
UGGGGAAUUUUGGACAAUGGGCGAAAGCCUGGUCCAGCAAUGCCGCGUGUGUGAAGAAGGCCUUCGGGUUGUAAAGCACUUUUGUCCGGAAAGAAAUGGCUCUGGUUAAUACCUGGGGUCGAUGACGGUACCGGAAGAAUAAGGACCGGCUAACUACGUGCCAGCAGCCGCGGUAAUACGUAGGGUCCAAGCGUUAAUCGGAAUUACUGGGCGUAAAGCGUGCGCAGGCGGUUGUGCAAGACCGAUGUGAAAUCCCCGAGCUUAACUUGGGAAUUGCAUUGGUGACUGCACGGCUAGAGUGUGUCAGAGGGGGGUAGAAUUCCACGUGUAGCAGUGAAAUGCGUAGAGAUGUGGAGGAAUACCGAUGGCGAAGGCAGCCCCCUGGGAUAACACUGACGCUCAUGCACGAAAGCGUGGGGAGCAAACAGG